AUGCAGCUGCUGAUAUUUUUGACUUUAAUGAUGAAAAGGUUAGUUGGUUUAAUCUAGAUCUCAUUUUACGUUUUCUUUAAAAAUUUGAACUAUUUUUCAGGAUGGUAUGGCUGGAUCAGUGCAGAGGAAGCCUAAGAUUGCACUGACAAGGCCUAAGGAACCUGAACUUGAAACAGCUCAACGUUACCGUCCAGUAAAACUUAAGAGCUCAGCUGAGUUGGAAGAAGAAAUGAUGGCAAAAAUUCCCAAGUUUAAGGCUCGCCCUCUAAAUAAGAAGGUACCUCCAGUAAAACUUAAGAGCUCAGCUGAGUUGGAAGAUGAAAUGAUGGCAAAAAUUCCCAAGUUUAAGGCUCGCCCUCUAAAUACGAAGCUUCGAAACCUUUCCCUUCUUCUCCCUUGGAACCUUUUCAGCUAAUCCCGAUAAUGGAUGUUGCCGUCGAUUGGAAGAAAACUCUGGCUGGUAUUCACGGAAUUAUAGUCGGCUAUGUUGACCAACGUCUACUGAAAAUCAAUGCCAAGGUAUUCCAUUCAUAUGAUUCAACAGUGUUCUGCAACAGGUAUUAUUAAUCUCCUCCUUCCUUCUCUUUCAAUCUCUUAUUCGUGUUGUUAUUUUUAUGCUUUCUUCUCCUUUUCCUCAUCUACACUCCCUUCUCAUUUGUGCGUGUUUUUCUUUCUCGUGGUGUGAGUGGAUUAUUCUCCAUCGAUAAUUGGAAUGGAUGUUUCCCACGACAUUUUUAGGGAAUUCAUUCUUUUCACACAAAUGGUAUAACCAGCCUGUCA